rnacentral:lncRNA from 1 species
GAGAUCUCAGAUAACAGUCAGUGUCAAUUGUUAAGCAGUCAGCAUUAUAAGACAGUUAUCUCUCAUUUGGGAUGCUCACUCUUGGAACCCAGCCACCAUGUUGUGAGAAAGCUCAGGCCACAUGCAGAGGCCACAUAAAAUGAAGCCUGUGAAAAUUGAAUAAAGGAGGUGAAUCACAAUCUGGAGCUGACUUAAGAGGUAUUUUUGAAGGAAGACUGUUGAACCUAAAGUAUCUUUCCACCAGCUACUGAGACAAAGGAAUCUUCUUUUUUCCUAACAUUAUUUUUAGCAAUGGCAGUCUUCUAAACCAAUAGAUGGCAAUGCCAGCUAGUAAUGAAAGAGCCCAGAGACCAGAAUCCUUCCUAUCUUUAAACUUUAAUUUAUUAUACAUUGUCUCCCUCAGAUGCUGUGGCCUGCUCCCUGGUUUUAUGUACAAAUAGCAGAGAAACACCUAUAAGCCUCUAGCAAUUCUUUCAGUUCCUUUUCUGUGUCUGUGCUUCCCUUGGCAGGAUUCUGUGUGUGCUUUGCAUCCAGUGGGGUGUUACUGUAAUGCUUUGUAACAGAAUCUGCCCUUGCACUACUGGCACCAUUUGGCAAAAAGGGCUAGGAAUUGAAGUCCCC